UACGUAGGGUGCGAGCGUUGUCCGGAAUUAUUGGGCGUAAAGGGCUCGUAGGCGGUCUGUCGCGUCGGGAGUGAAAACUCAGGGCUUAACCCUGAGCCUGCUUCCGAUACGGGCAGACUAGAGGUAUGCAGGGGAGAACGGAAUUCCCGGUGUAGCGGUGAAAUGCGCAGAUAUCGGGAGGAACACCGGUGGCGAAGGCGGGUUCUCUGGGCCUGA
rnacentral:rRNA from 1 species